AAGAUGACAAUAUAAAUUCUGAAAAGCUAAAAAAGAAGUAGAAGUUAACUGAGACUUGUUUCAAUUGAAUUUCUCUGUUGUGGAUAUUAACAUAGUUUCGACCAGAAUAAGAUCCAUACGAAGACAGGAGGCCCAAGAUGCUAGUUCAUCCUCUUAUGGGAUCCCUCAUUUCCUGGAUUUGUCUCCCAGGAAAAUGCAUGAUUUCCAGAGUUGCAGUUAGUUUUCCAUGCAGCAAAAUAAUUUUAAGACUCUUCCUUCACUGUCUUCUCUUGUGAAUAAGAGGGGAGUAAGAUUAAGUAUUAUUACUGUUUGUUCCACAGGUAGUAAUUCUGUGAAAAACUGAGUGGAGCUAAACAUUUUCAGGGCUAUUACUCCUUGUAUCCCAGAGCAUUAACUUACAGUGAAAAGUUACAGAAAUUCUAGACCCAGCUUCUGUUAACUCUGUUUGUUGUAAUUUCCGUUCAUACACUUCUCUAGAUCUCCCAGGAGAAACCGAAGGGUUUUUUUCUGCACAUAUGACUCCUGUACUGACAGAGUUAUUUCUAAAGCUAUACCCUAACAGUUCUUGCUUUAUGUUUAAAACAUCCUUGAGAAAUGUCUAUCCUUGAUCCUACUGGAACCAUGAAUUUUAUGCUAAGAUUUUAUCUUUAUCUGACACUUCCUAUCUUUUAAGCAUAUGUAGGGAAUCAGUGAGAUAGAGCACAGUGCUCACAUCAUACAUUAAUUUGAGAAUGGGGAUAUUAUCUCAGAGAUGAAAGCAUAAACGCAUAGCACACAAAUUCUUUACUCCCAGUAAGUUGUUGCAAUGAUUCACAUGAUAAUGCAGUCUUGCAUAAUGGCCUUUGAAUCGCUGGACCUUCAGAACGUGCUUUUUUUUCCAUGUUCUUCACUUUCUGUGUAAGUUUCUCAACUUUGAUCCUGAGCUCUACAUAACAAGUCUGAGAGGAAAAAAAAAUCAUAUAGGUAUCUCUGGAAAUGACUGUGAUUUGUAAUUUGCAGCUGCUGUAUUCUUGGACAUCUGUGUUUGGGAAGGACUCAACACAAGACUUUCUAGCAGCAUCUGAGUUCUCUGAAUUCAGCUAUUCUCCCUCUAAGGCUGAAUGAAAAUUGUUCCCUAAGGCUGUAUCCUGUCACACCUAGGAUCUCCCUAGGAACAGUGGUCUCCUUUUGGACCAUUCAGUCCCGUUGAUACUAAACGAAGAUUUGGCAACAGAGUCUUUUUGGCAAUAUCAUGAGUAAUGUAAUGAAAACCAAACACCUGGGAAUGGUUAUGCUAAAUCAUAGUUGAAGUGUGUUGAUAUGGAAGCUGCUGUGGUUCUGUCUGGGAAAUGAGAGGUACACAGCUCCUCCCGUGGGGACAGCCAAAGGCUAUGGUCUCAAUCUACGUUUCUGAUCUGGUCUGGGAGAGAAAACACAGGUUUUUGUUUAGUAAGACCAUUAUUAAGCAUUCCUACCUUCCCUACUUCUCAAUAGUCUUGCGCUCCUGAAAGCUAAAUUAUCUCUGUAAGAUCCAAAGGGGAAAAAACAACUCUUGUACAAUCACAAGCUCAUGUUAAACACAACUAUACCACAGAAUUUCAGACAUUGAUUCUUCCUUGGAAUUUAAUAUAGACAAAGAAAAGAAGAAAUUUCAGAAUUUUAAACAUGAAUGUAGAUAUCAGUAAUUGUAUGCCACCAUAUGAUGGAAGACUGGCAAAAAUAUAGUCCAGAUGGUCUCUUCCUCCCUUGACUAUUUCUACUGUAUAUCCAGUAAUAAUAAAACGAUCCACUGCUUUAUGAAACAUUUCUUUUUGAGUUUAUUUUAUACAGCAUUAUAAAAUUAGCUUCAAGAGCAGAAUGUGAGGGACUUUCCUACAGAUGUGUGUCAUUACUCGUAUAUUUUUUACUGAGACCCAUCAUCAAAGAAGUGCAACAUACAAAGUAAUGAAUGUCUGACUCUCACUGAGGAUGUAUAAGAGUUGACAGUUCUGCAGUGCUUCAGAAUCUACAGCCUAACAGAGCUUCCUCCAACAAGAGGAAUGCUGGAUUCGAGGCUCUGUUGCCUAAGCUGCAUUCUGCUCUGGCAGCAAUCCCACUGCAACCUAAAACUCUUUGCAGAGAAAUAGUUUUCCACUGAAUACUGGAUCAGGAAGUACCAGGUUCAUACUGCAGAUAAGAGCACAAACUGCUGUUACAUUUUACAGACCACUGCUCCCUUUCUCCUGAGAUAUAACUGUGAAAAAAAUCCAGCCAGCCUCACUGGAACUGCUUAAGCAAAUAAUUGGUGUUGCACUCUUGGACAGACCUCAUGGUGCCACAUACAAUAAGCUUCAUGAGCAGGUAUUUGACUACAUCUUCGCAACAGGUCUUCAGAAGUUGGGUCUCCUGCCAUCUGUUUUUUCAGGGGAGUCAUGUAUGGCAAUGAAACAAGGGGAAGAGCAAAAGCAACUCUACCAUCUUCCUACUCUACUUAGGUAAAACACCAAAAGAAUCCCCAGGGCAAUUGCAGUGUGCAGAAUAGUAAAUGAAAUGUUUAUAUCUACAAUAAGGCAAAUUCAGUGGCAAAGGUUUUAUAUUUGACUCAUUCAAAGAAAUGACCUCUGCACAACAGCAGAUUCGAAGAGACUGGUGUAGCUUAGGUCUUGUAUUUAGGCUUAGCCUAUGUCCAACAAGAUUAAAAGCAUUUUUCAAUGUGUCAUUUAAAAAGCCUUUUUAUUACCAUCUAUCAUUAUUAGAAUGUAAUUCUACAGUUAAAGCCCACUGCCCAAAAUUUGCAGUUUGUUUCAUUGUUUUGGAUGUCAGAAAAGUGACCUAGAAAUUGCUCAGAUGUCUUUCAAUUGGAUGGAAGUUUUCUUUGUGUUUUCUCAGACAUUCUACAAUUUCAGUAAAGUUGGGGGCUGACUACCUGGACAUAUUUCUGUAUUAGACAGAGGCCUAGCAGGUCCAGAUGUUACAGAUUCAUUAUGAUUUUUCUCUCUUGAACCAUAAAUGCAAGGAACAGACAGACAAAAUGAGAUUUAUUUCAUAACGCAGCAGCUGGAAGAUGUUUCCUGUGGUCUAACCCGCCUUUGGGUCUCAGAUGAGAAGGGGAUUGAAGGUGCAGUUAUUAACUCCCUGUCAGCCACCCCACUCUGCCAACACCCGGUGGGAGACAGACACUGUAAUUUGAUCCUGUCUACUAGACUUCAGAGGGCAGCCUUCCAGCAAGUGAAUUAACACAGAGCUAAAGUUCCAUGUGAGCAAAACCAUUCCAAUAACAGAUUUGGCCGCAGGAAGCACUGCAAAUGCUCUUCAGAAAAAGGCAUGCAGGACCGCAGGAUCUCAUCUCCAGGCAUAGCUCCUUCAGGCUGUGCAAUUUGUCCAUGAAGUUUCAGGACAAGCAUUUCUUGCUGGGAGGUGAAAGACACUGCUGCUUCCAGGCUAUAUAAUUUUAUCCAUGGGAAAUGAGCUCAGUGAUUUAGGACCUCAAUCUUUAUUUUUCUGAUGAGCUGUCUUCAGUUUCUCAGUGAAUACAGAAAGUAAAAUGCUACCUGUAACACGGCUGAGAGAGGAGAAACUAGGGGUACAGAUCCCUUCUAGAAAACAGGGUUGUCAAGCUGCACCUGGAACAGGAAUCUGACCUUAAGAUCUGCGCUAUGGAAGAUCUGCAGCUGUGUAGAGCAAAAAUAGAUAAUCUAGAAUCUUCUGUUACUCCUUCUUCAUAAUCAAGAAGCAUCUAUCCAAGUACUGUUUAACCACUCUGAUUGAUAAUGUAUGACAUUUGAUGGUUUUAGAGUUACAAGAACAAGUUUCUAACUGAGAACUGUUUUUCCAAGUGAAGAACAAUGGAGGCAUGGAAAGGAACCUGUAAAAAAAUUAACACAAGUAAGGUGUUUUCUCUAAAAACUACUUCAAGUUCUUUGUGUGUAUGCUCAAAGUCCUCAGUGAAAACAUACAGAUGGACCAAAUCCAUGUCCCACUGAUGGUAAUUCCCAUUACUCUACUAAAAUUUUGUGCUGCUAGUGCCUACUAUCAGGACAAUUUUAUCAAUAUUUACUUGAUAGAAAUGUAUACCAGAUAAUUUUUCAAGGCAUUUAGAGCUCUCUUUUCCCUUCUGUUCAGCUACUUAGCCCAGCUGCUGUUUUAGCAAUUCUUCCUAGACAGGUUUUGUCAAGACAAAAGCAGUAGUGAAUCAUAAUCAUACAAUUGUGGAAUGGCCUGGGUUGUAAAGGACCAUAAUGAUCACUUAGUUUCAACCCCCUGCUAUGUGAAGGGUCACUAACCACCAGACCAGGCUGCCCAGUGCCACAUCCAGCCUGGCCUUGAAUGCCUCCAGGAAUGGGGCAUCCACAUCCUCUAGUGAUGCCCCAUGAAGAAUGCAUCCACAACCUCUAGUGAUGCACUAUGAAGAAUAAAAACAGCAAAUGUACAACAUUACACCAGAAGAGCUGCAGGAUUAGUGAAGGUGCUGUUCUGAAAAGUCUUUGCAGUUACAAAACUUUGUCCACUCAAGGGAGAAUCAUGAGAAGAAUAUGGUAGUACAAAAAUAGAAGUCAUCAUUCUUUUUCUCGACAGAACAGUUAAAGUGUGUCCUUAUGUGCUUUUUUGCUUACUUGUUUUAGUGUUGCAAGGUAAGCUGUAAAGUUUUGAGGACAUUGAGUUGUCCUCAAUUAGACAAUUAGAACAAUGAACCUAAUGAAAAAAUAUGCUAUUUGUUGCUAUAGAAAUGUUUAUUAUUUCUGAUUUCCAUGAUUUCUAAGUUGAAAUUUCUGAUAGGAAUUUGUUUCUCCUAUUAUAGUCUGCGAAUUAUUUUCUACUUGCACUUUUUGCAGUAAAUAUAGUGUUUUUAAUAAUGAAUGCAGUGAUUGCUGUUGUAUUUAUCUUAAUGUGCAAUAAAAUGCAUGGUACAGUAGUGGUUCUAUCCAUGAAGACAGCAUGUAUUUAAAUUUACAUUUCAUAUUCUAUGAAGUGAAAAGACUAUUACUAUAGAAUGGAAACACUAUCCAAAGCUGCUUUAUCAUUCCAGUUCAACGUUACAUGCUCCCAAUAUUCUAAAGGGAAUGCUUAAAUCCAGAGCAUUCCCAUCACUUCCAGUGCAUAGAAGCAUCAGUGUCAGAGCAUGGGCAACAUCACAUGCAGGCAGCUCUUAUGCUGGAGUCUACUGGCGUGCAGAGAAAAAUUGCUUACAGUAGGUUAGAAGUCACCUCUAAACAUUUGAACAUUAUUUCCGAGUAGAGAACAAUACAUUUUUCUGGAGCAUCCGUAUGUAUAAUAGAUAUCAUUCUUCUUGGUUUUGUAUUCUUUGUGGGAAUUGGAAAUAUCCUUAAAGUUCACUUUGCCUCAGGAAUGGAGGUAAUGCUGGGGAGUAAA